rnacentral:rRNA from 1 species
UGAGUAACCUGCCCUUAACUCUGGGAUAAGCCUGGGAAACCGGGUCUAAUACCGGAUAUGACCUUCUGCCGCAUGGCGGGGGUGGAAAGCUUUUUGCGGUUUUGGAUGGACUCGCGGCCUAUCAGCUUGUUGGUGAGGUAAUGGCUCACCAAGGCGACGACGGGUAGCCGGCCUGAGAGGGUGACCGGCCACACUGGGACUGAGACACGGCCCAGACUCCUACGGGAGCAG